CGUCUUCAGGAUCCUUCUCCGCCUUCAUAACGCUUGAAAAUUAUUUUCCUCACAGCGCAGCACUUGAUUAACAGGAGCCUCAAGUCAGGGGCAAAAGUAUGCAGUAAGGAACAAAGAAAAAGAUAUUCUAUCAAUUACUUUUCUGAGCACAGCAAUAACAGGCUUAAUCCUGCUCCACUGGAUUUCUCUGCAUAAAAAUGACAAGAACUAAGAUGAUGAUGAUGAUAAGGGUAUUCUAUCCUUUCCUGGAUUACUUCUGUCACAUCCUAGAAGCCUCCGACUAAGAGGCUCACUCUGUAAACUGUUGAUUGCCAUGGGAUAGGGAAAGCACAUCCUCCUCUGACUCUGAACUCAGCUGGGAAGGAUUCUCAGAUUGUUAAGGAGACAUAUAAUUAGACCAGGCCUACCCAGAUUAUGCAGGAUCAUCUCUCCAUCUCAAGGUUUUUAAUCCAAUUGCAUAGUCUAUAAAGGCUCUUUUGUCAUAUAAGGUAAUAUAUUUGCAGGUCCUUGGGAUUAAUGUGUGAACAUCCGUGGGGGUCAUUAAUUCUUCUUAUCACAUUCAGUGACUGACAUUUAGCUAGACAAAUGUUUGGAAUACCAACCCUCCACGUGUUUCCUUAUGGUAUCAAUCUGACUGCAUUCCCAGGGCUGAAUUCCUUAAAAUCUGUAUCUAUGACAGCAGAAACUGUCUCACUUUGGUUCCUCCCUGUAUUCCCAGCACUCAGCAGAAGGCAUGGAGUGGGUACACAAUAAAGAUUUAUUGAAUAGCUGAAUGAAAAAAUAAGUGAGUAAACCUAUUCUUUCAUGUGAGCUGCUAUAGGAGAAAUCUCUUUGGGGGCCUCAGCUGGUAAUAUCCAACCUCUUCAAGGGAAAGGGGCUCCCUCUUCAUGGGCAGGGYCACUUUAUCGUCCUUAUCUUUUCUUCAAUAUUUGAUUCUACCUUGAGCAUAUCCCUUCCCUUCAGUCCCUACUGAGCUUAUGCCAUCUGCUAUAUU